CUUCCUUCUCAUGGAUAUUCCCACCCAAGUCCUCUUUCAGACAAGCUGGAAGUGCAGUCCCUAGCACCAGGCUGUCGGAGGAGGUCAGAGCCUCAAGCCGGCCCCGGCUUGGAGGGGCGCCGAGCUCCCUGGACUCUGGGGCAGCGAGGGGACCAAGAAGACUCCACAGGCCUUCCUGAGAGACCCCACAGGCGAGCUGAGAGGAAACACAGGGUGCGUGAAAGUUAGUUUUCCUAAGAAAAGCAAGAACAUUCCCCUCCCUGACCUCACCCCAGCCGUCCCUGCUGAGAACACAUGGGAAGUUCGGGGGAAUUUUCUCAAAUCCUGCUUGUAAGACAAAAACUUAUCAGGAAUCCAUGCUUCAUGAUAUCCUUCCUGGGCAGGACAGGGGUGGCUGGCGUUAACCUCCCAGCUCACUGGCUGCCCCUCAAACCUCUUCUGGCAGCCAGGAGUCUGGCCAGCACCCCCCUCCUGCCUUCCACGGAGCCACUGCCACAAAGCCAUGCAGAGGUCCCUCCCCCACCAGGCCCUGCUCCUCAGAUGGAACAUGGGAGCAGGUGGAAUGGGAGCAGCAGGCAGGGCUGGAGGAGGAGCUAGUGCCUCCCCACCUCAGCUUGCUGUCACCGCAGCCUCCCAGGACUUGCUGCUGUGGAAUAAUUAGUGCUGCUGGCACUAAUGGCCCUGACUUCUCACUCUCCCUGAAUCCCUGCCCGG
ensembl:lncRNA